rnacentral:rRNA from 1 species
GUGGGGAAUAUUGGACAAUGGGCGCAAGCCUGAUCCAGCCAUGCCGCGUGAGUGAUGAAGGCCCUAGGGUUGUAAAGCUCUUUCACCGGUGAAGAUAAUGACGGUAACCGGAGAAGAAGCCCCGGCUAACUUCGUGCCAGCAGCCGCGGUAAUACGAAGGGGGCUAGCGUUGUUCGGAAUUACUGGGCGUAAAGCGCACGUAGGCGGACAUUUAAGUCAGGGGUGAAAUCCCGGGGCUCAACCCCGGAACUGCCUUUGAUACUGGGUGUCUGGAGUAUGGAAGAGGUAAGUGGAAUUCCGAGUGUAGAGGUGAAAUUCGUAGAUAUUAGGAAGAACACCAGUGGCGAAGGCGGCUCACUGGUCUGGUACUGACGCUGAGGUGCGAAAGCGUGGGGAGCAAACAGGAUUAGAUACCCGUGUAGUCC